rnacentral:rRNA from 1 species
AACGAACGCUGGCGGCAUGCCUAACACAUGCAAGUCGAACGAGACCUUCGGGUCUAGCGGCGCACGGGUGCGUAACGCGUGGGAACCUGCCCUUAGGUUCGGAAUAACUCCCCGAAAGGGGUGCUAAUACCGGAUAAUGUCUUCGGACCAAAGAUUUAUCGCCUUUGGAUGGGCCCGCGUUGGAUUAGCUAGUUGGUAGGGUAAAAGCCUACCAAGGCGACGAUCCAUAGCUGGUCUGAGAGGAUGAUCAGCCACACUGGGACUGAGACACGGCCCAGACUCCUACGGGAGGCAGCAGUGGGGAAUCUUGGACAAUGGGCGAAAGCCUGAUGCAGCCAUGCCGCGUGAGUGAUGAAGGGCUUAGGGUUGUAAAGCUCUUUUACCCGGGAUGAUAAUGACAGUACCGGGAGAAUAAGCUCCGGCUAACUCCGUG